rnacentral:rRNA from 1 species
GGCGGAUGUUACUUAUAGGACUCCGCCGGCACCUUAUGAGAAAUCAAAGUCUUUGGGUUCCGGGGGGAGUAUGGUCGCAAGGCUGAAACUUAAAGGAAUUGACGGAAGGGCACCACCAGGAGUGGAGCCUGCGGCUUAAUUUGACAACACGGGGAAACUUACCAGGUCCAGACAUAGU